rnacentral:rRNA from 1 species
GACAGCAGUAGCACGGGAAUACGAAGGGGGCUAGCGUUGUUCGGAUUUACUGGGCGUAAAGCGCACGUAGGCGGAUCCUUAAGUCAGAGGUGAAAUCCCAAGGCUCAACCUUGGAACUGCCUUUGAUACUGGGGAUCUCGAGUCCGGGAGAGGUGAGUGGAACUGCGAGUGUAGAGGUGAAAUUCGUAGAUAUUCGCAAGAACACCAGUGGCGAAGGCGGCUCACUGGCCCGGUACUGACGCUGAGGUGCGAGAGCGUGGGGAGCAAACAGGAUUAGAUACCCCAGUAGUCCCUGUCUCUUAUACA